rnacentral:rRNA from 1 species
UGCAACGCGAAGAACCUACCUGGUCUUGACAUCCCGGAGACCCUUAGGAAACUAAGGGGGUGCUCCAUCUGGAAGAAUCUGGAGACAGGUGCUGCAUGGCUGUCGUCAGCUCGUGUCGUGAGAUGUUGGGUUAAGUCCCGCAACGAGCGCAACCCUGCCUUUAGUUGCCAGCAGUUCGGCUGGGCACUCUAAGGGGACUGCCGGUGUUAAACCGGAGGAAGGUGGGGAUGACGUCAAGUCCUCAUGGCCUUUAUGACCAGGGCUACACACGUACUACAAUGGCCGAUACAAAGGGCAGCGACACUGCGAGGUGAAGCCAAUCCCGUAAAAUCGGUCUCAGUCCGGAUUGGAGUCUGCAACUCGACUCCAUGAAGUUGGAAUCGCUAGUAAUCGUGGAUCAGCAUGCCACGGUGAAUACGUUCCCGGGCCUU